GUAGGGAAUCUUCGGCAAUGGACGAAAGUCUGACCGAGCAACGCCGCGUGAGUGAAGAAGGUUUUCGGAUCGUAAAACUCUGUUGUUAGAGAAGAAUGUUGAUUAGAGUGGAAAAUUAAUCAAGUGACGGUAUCUAACCAGAAAGGGACGGCUAACUACGUGCCAGCAGCCGCGGUAAUACGUAGGUCCCGAGCGUUGUCCGGAUUUAAUGGGCGUAAAGCGAGCGCAGGUGGUUUAAUAAGUCUGAUGUAAAAGGCAGUGGCUCAACCAUUGUGUGCAUUGGAAACUGUUAGACUUGAGUGCAGUAGAGGAGAGUGGAAUUCCAUGUGUAGCGGUGAAAUGCGUAGAUAUAUGGAGGAACACCGGUGGCGAAAGCGGCUCUCUGGUCUGUAACUGACGCUGAGGUUCGAAAGCGUGGGUAGCAAACAGGAUUAGAAACCCGGGUAGUCC
rnacentral:rRNA from 1 species